rnacentral:rRNA from 1 species
GAUCAUGGCUCAGGAUGAACGCUGGCGGCGUGCUUAACACAUGCAAGUCGAGCGAAGCAAUCUAAGUGAAGUUUUCGGAUGGAUCUUAAAUUGACUGAGCGGGCGGACGGGUGAAGGUAACGCGUGGAUAACCUGCCUCACACAGGGGGAUAACAGUUAGAAAUGACUGCUAAUACCGCAUAAGCGCACAGUACCGCAUGGUAUAGUGUGAAAAACUUCGGU